AUUUUUUUACACUAUAAAGCUAACAAAUGAUUCUAAUUUCUAAAUUAAUAAAAGAAAAAACUAUGGUUAAAGUUUAUAUGUUUAUUACUUAUGCUAUGGUUAUCUUUUUUUCCAUAUUUAUUUCUAUAUCAAGGGCUAUGUGUCGAAAUAACGCGGAUUGUCAAAAUUAUGUUUGUAUCGAUGCUGGCGAUGUUCCAAUCUGCGUCUUUUGGGUUACGGAGCCUGAAUUUAAAAGGACAGAGUUUGGGGUUUGUGCAUGUGUCGAGAAGGUCACAAAGCACAAAAUUAGUGGCUAGAUUGUGAACAUAUACAUACUCCCUCCAGUCCUUAAUAUAAGAAAAAAUUUAUUUUUUAGAUUCAUGGAAUCUAGAAAAAUGGGCCAAUUAUUCUUAAAAAUGGACCAAAUACAUCAAUCAUUCUAUGAAUUUAGAAAACAAAAGUUUUCUUAUGUAAGGGACCAGAGGGAGUAUUUAUAAAGAAGCCGUAAAAGGUAAUUAAAAUAAAAAUAAAAUUAUGUUGCUGCUCUGUUUGUUUCAUACUUAUAUUUAUUUUAGUAAAUUAUACUCCCCUCUUUUGAAUAAUAUUUUUCUCCUCUCUUAUAUGUUACAA